rnacentral:rRNA from 1 species
AAUGAACGUUGGCGGCGUGGAUUAGGCAUGCAAGUCGAGCGAGAACCCCGCAAGGGGGGACAGCGGCGAAAGGGACAGUAAUACGCAGAUUACCUACCCUCGGGACCGGAAUAGCUGCGGGAAACUGCAGGUAAUGCCGGAUAACGUCCCCGGACCAAAGGUGAGAUUCCGCCUGAGGAUGGGUCUACGUCCUAUUAGCUUGUUGGUGGGGUAACGGCCUACCAAGGCAAUGAUGGGUAGUGGGUGUGAGAGCACGACCCGCGUCACUGGGACUGAGACACUGCCCAGACACCUACGGGUGGCUGCAGUGGAGGAUCUUCGGCAAUGGGCGCAAGCCUGACCGAGCGACGCCGCGUGUGGGAUGAAGGCCUUCGGGUUGUAAACCACUGUCAGAGGGGAUGAAAUGCAGGUGGGUUCUCCCAUCUGUUUGACAUAUCCUCAGAGGAAGUACGGGCUAAGUUCGUGCCAGCCGCCGCAGUAAGAC